GGUGGGGAUGACGUCAAGUCCUCAUGGCCCUUAUAGGUGGGGCUACACACGUCAUACAAUGGAUGGUACAAAGGGUCGCCAACCCGCGAGGGGGAGCCAAUCCCAUAAAGCCAUUCGUAGUCCGGAUCGCAGUCUGCAACUCGACUGCGUGAAGUCGGAAUCGCUAGUAAUCGUGGAUCAGAAUGUCACGGUGAAUACGUUCCCGGGUCUU
rnacentral:rRNA from 1 species